GACGAACGCUGGCGGCGUGCUUAGCACAUGCAAGUCGAACGAGAAGAGAUGAGAAGCUUGCUUCUUAUUGAUUCGAGUGGCAAACGGGUGAAUAACGCGUAAGCAACCUGCCCUCUAGAUGGGGGACAACAGCUGGAAACGGCUGCUAAUACCGAAUACGUUCUUUCUGUCGCAUGGCAGAAGGAAGAAAGGGAGGCUCUUCGGAGCUUUCGCUGGAGGAGGGGCUUGCGUCUGAUUAGCUAGUUGGAGGGGUAACGGCCCACCAAGGCGACGAUCAGUAGCCGGUCUGAGAGGAUGAACGGCCACAUUGGGACUGAGACACGGCCCAGACU
rnacentral:rRNA from 1 species